rnacentral:rRNA from 1 species
GAGUUUGAUCAUGGCUCAGAACGUACGCUGGCGGCACACCUAACACAUGCAAGUCGAACGAAGUAGCAAUACUUAGUGGCAGACGGGUGAGUAACAUGUAGGUAUCUGCCCUUUGGCCUGGAAUAACACGAGGAAACUUGUGCUAAUACCGGAUAAGUUUUUACGGAGAAAGCUUUAUGCACCAUUGGAUGAGCCUGCACUUGAUUAGUUUGUUGGUGGGGUAAUGGCCUACCAAGACUGUGAUCAAUAGCUGAUUUGAGAGGAUGAUCAGCCACAUUGGGACUGAGACACGGCCCAAACUCCUACGGGAGGCAGCAGUGGGGAAUCUUGCACAAUGGAGGAAACUCUGAUGCAGCGAUGCCGCGUGAGUGAAGAAGGCCUUUGGGUUGUAAAGCUCUUUCGUCGGGGAAGAAAAUGACUGUACCCGAAUAAGAAGGUCCGGCUAACUUCGUGCCAGCAGCCGCGGUAAUACGAAGGGACCUAGCGUAGUUCGGAAUUACUGGGCUUAAAGAGUUCGUAGGUGGUUGAAAAAGUUGGUGGUGAAAUCCCAGAGCCUAACUCUGGAACUGCCAUCAAAACUUUUCAGCUAGAGUAUGAUAGAGGAAAGCAGAAUUUCUAGUGUAGAGGUGAAAUUCGUAGAUAUUAGAAAGAAUACCAAUUGCGAAGGCAGCUUUCUGGAUCAUUACUGACACUGAGGAACGAAAGCAUGGGUAGCGAAGAGGAUUAGAUACCCUCGUAGUCCAUGCCGUAAACGAUGUGUGUUAGACGUUGGAAAUUUAUUUUCAGUGUCGCAGCGAAAGCGAUAAACACACCGCCUGGGGAGUACGACCGCAAGGUUAAAACUCAAAUGAAUUGACGGGGACCCGCACAAGUAGUGGAGCAUGUGGUUUAAUUCGAAGAUACGCGCAGAACCUUACCAACACUUGACAUGUUCGUCGCGACUCUAAGAGAUUAGAGUUUUCGGUUCGGCCGGACGAAACACAGGUGCUGCAUGGCUGUCGUCAGCUCGUGUCGUGAGAUGUUGGGUUAAGUCCCGCAACGAGCGCAACCCUCACUUUUAGUUGCCAUCAUUAAGUUGGGCACUCUGAAAGAACUGCCAGUGAUAAGCUGGAGGAAGGUGGGGAUGACGUCAAGUCCUCAUGGCCCUUACGUGUUGGGCUACACACGUGCUACAAUGGUAUCUACAACAGGAAGCAAGACUGCGAGGUCAAGCAAAUCCCUAAAAGAUACCUCAGUUCGGAUUGCACUCUGCAACUCGAGUGCAUGAAGCUGGAAUUACUAGUAAUCGUGGAUCAGCGUGCCACGGUGAAUGCGUUCCCGGGUCUUGUACACACCGCCCGUCACACCAUGGGAGUUGGUUCUACCUUAAGGCAAAGUUUAAUACCCUUGACCACGGUAUAGUCAGCGACUGGGGUGAAGUCGUAACAAGGUAACC